CACGAUGGUAGCCCGACGAAGUACGCGACAUCAUGUCGCAACGUUGGACUAUGAGCAUCCUGUUGU
rnacentral:sRNA from 1 species